UACGAAGGGGGCUAGCGUUGCUCGGAAUCACUGGGCGUAAAGCGCACGUAGGCGGCUUACUAAGUCAGGGGUGAAAUCCUGGAGCUCAACUCCAGAACUGCCUUUGAUACUGGUGAGCUUGAGUCCGGAAGAGGUGAGUGGAACUGCGAGUGUAGAGGUGAAAUUCGUAGAUAUUCGGAAGAACACCAGUGGCGAAGGCGGCUCACUGGUCCGGUACUGACGCUGAGGCACGAAAGCGUGGGGAGCAAACAGG
rnacentral:rRNA from 1 species